UGGGUUGUGGCUCAAUGGUAGAGCGCUCACCUAGCACAUGUGAGGGAGACACUGUGUUCGAUCCUCAGCACCAUAU
rnacentral:tRNA from 1 species